CACACACACACUUACAUCACUCUCCCUCUCCCUCUCUCUCCCACCUUUGGAUAUUCCGGCUAACCAUUGUUGUUCACCGCCGUAAACCGCCAACCGCCGGCCUCACUCGCCGGAUACAACUGUCGAUUACCAACACCUCACCAUCUCCAUUCUAUCACAAGCAUAUAACCAGUCAAAGCCACCACUCUUCUCUUAUUGCUGCUGGCGCUGCCCUCCUCCACCGUAGAUGGGUUCAGUCACCGGAAAACAGCCGAUAGUGAAAACCACCUCACUGUCACCACCACGACCCACCUCAUGAGCCGCCGGACCACCACUUCUACCCUGCUGAACCACCAACCGCGAUACCAUCUACCGCAGAUUUUUGAAGAAGCAAUUUUCCAUUGUUGUACAUUUUAUUGUAUCGUACAUUUAGUUUGUUAUUGUAUUAUUGUUUUUUAUGUGUUUGUUAAUAAAUGUAUAUGUGUGUUUUUUACAUAUAUCUAGUUAAUUGGUUGUUUAAUUCAAUGAUAUGUUUGGUUAAUUAUAUUUUAUUUUAUAAUUUGUUGUUACCAAGGA